rnacentral:rRNA from 1 species
GCUAGAAAUGCAGUAAGUUACCGGUUGCCGGUAAGCAUAGAAUAAGCUUCGCCUAACUCCGUGCACAAGCCCGAGUAUAAUCAAGGAGGUAUCUAGGUUAUCCGGAUUAAUUCGGGUUUAAGGGGUCGUCAAGCGGGCAUAUGUAAGUCCACUGGUGAAUUGCCUCCCGCUUAACGGGAUAGGACUAGCCGAUGGAUAUGCAAGUUCUUGAAGAUAAGUGAAGUAGGCGGGAAUGCUGUGUGUAGCGUGAAAUGCAAUAGAUACUGACACAAGAACCACCGGAUUGCCGCAGCAGCAUAACUAGCUAUGAUUGACGCUGAGCACGAAAGCGUCGGGAGCGAACACGAUUAGAUACCCUGGUAGUACACGCCGUAAACGAUGAUCACUCGCUGUUGCUGAUACACAGUAAGCGGCUGAGCGAAAGCAUUAAGUGAUCCACCUGGGGAGUACGAUCGCAAGGUUGAAACUCAAAGGAAUUGACGCGGGCCCGCACAAGCGGAGGGAACAUGUGGUUUAAUUCGAUGAUACGCGAGGAACCUUACCUGGGCUUAAAUGUAGGAUGCAUAAAGUGGAAACACUUUUUUUCUUCGGAACUUUUUACAAGGUGCUGCAUGGUCGUCGUCAGCUCGUGCCGUGAGGUGUCGGGUUAAGUCCCAUAACGAGCGCAACCCUUACCGUUAGUUGCCAUCAGGUCAAGCUGGGGACUCUAGCGGGACUGCCACCGUAAGGUGAGAGGAAGGUGGGGAUGACGUCAAAUCAGCACGGCCCUUAUGUCCAGGGCUACACACGUGUUACAAUGGUCGGUACAAAGGGCAGCUACACUGCGAAGUGAUGCUAAUCCCAAAAGCCGAUCCCAGUUCGGAUUGGAGUCUGCAACCCGACUCCAUGAAGUUGGAUUCGCUAGUAAUCGCGCAUCAGCCAUGGCGCGGUGAAUACGUUCCCGGGCCUUGUACACACCGCCCGUCAAACCAUGGAAGCUGGGGGUGCCUGAAGUCUGGACCGCAAGGAGCGCCUAGGA